rnacentral:lncRNA from 1 species
UUAUGGAACGACAUCUAACAUCACUUCACUGCGUCAAUCAUUUAAUGUCAUGUAUAUGAUAUUAAUAGUAAACAAUUUAAUAUUCAUAUUCAAUGACAUUAUAUUUUACUUAAUUAAGUUAUUUAGUUUGUAUCCCAACUAAUAUAGUAAAUGAUGUGUCACUAUUUGAUUUACUCAAAUUAUAGUUAGUUAUUAAGUAUUAUCAUUUAUAAUCUAAAUGGUAAAAGGGGACUGGGGACACAUCAAUUGGUAUAGAGAUUAAUUAUCUCAGUUGAUUCAACAUAGCAUGUACCUACAUAAUUUAGUUUCUUGUUUGUCGUGCGAAAGAGAAAUUUUCCAUACACCAUGUCUGUGAUUACAUGGCAAAUUGUGUAUACGUUUCACCUAAUACUCAUCACUAAAAUUCAAACUGACCUCAUGGUCUCCUUCUUUUUUCAUUUUGUAUUUUUUAAAUAAUAGGUAUUAGAAAUCCAAACCUCUAAUCUGAAUAAUGAGAUAACGUGAGACAACCACUGAGGCAAGGAAUGAAUAGUCACUUACAAUGGGUUGGAUCUUGUUAUUUCAGUUUUUUCGGAUUUAAAAAACAAAUAGGGCAAAAUACAAGGUGAAAAAAAUGUAAAUAGUUGAAAGUUAAAACAUGUUUAUUUAAGAAAGACGCAAUCUUUGUCUCUGAUUUUAGGAUAAAGCUGUAGUACAACUGUGUUACCGUGUCACAAUUACACCCGAUCGUUGAAUUUUUACUUAUUUAAAUAGACAUCACUCGUUUAAAUGAGUCUUGGUGCAAUUGUAGCACUGUAUGGUGAUCCCUGGUUUUAUAUUAACCUCAUAUGAAAGCAAAAUUUUCAACUUUAAAGUUUAAACAAUGAAAAUGGGCAAUCAAAAAGUCGUGAGUGUCAGUGAUGAUAUGAUUUUUAUAUCUUUGUUUUCCUUUGGCUUUCUUUCCCUCCACCUUUUGUCCUUUUUUUAUUUUUUCCCUUCCAAUUAUUUGUAACACUAUCUGCAUUCUUAUUGUUCGUUUCACCUACUAUUUCAUCACAUGAACGUUUUGGUACGUGCUAGGAAUAGGAUUAAGAUUCCGUUAGCGUUUUUUCCAACUUGAUACGACCGUUUGUGACGUUCUAAUUUUACGGAACGUAGCCGUAUUAAAACCCAAAAAUUAAUUAAUAGCAAUGAAUGAGAAUAUAAUAGCCUCUUCCUCCCCAACUUUUUGUAAAGGAGUUCAAUAUUUACUUUGUCACAUAUGAGUAGGCUUAAUUACCUUUUGAUCAUUAUAAUAAGGUUCUAAAAAAUUAUUAGAAGCUAAAAUUUUGACUUGAUUCAUUAAGACAUAGUUGUGUAUGUGUGCGUGCGUGUGUGUAUGUAUGUAUGUAACACAAUAAUGCAACAACUUCGAUCAGUUAUUAAGUCCUAGUUGUGUGUGUGUGUGUGUAACACAAUUGGCUUCACACACACCCAAUUAGAACCGAGUUAAUUAAAUAUAAGAACUAUGUAAUAAUUGAAACACGUAUUCAAAACACAGUUCACUAAUCGUUGAAAAAUAUUAUGUUUUGGUUUCGUAGGUCAUCAGUCCAUCAACAACUCUGCUCAUUUGGCUUGUACCUUUUAAUUUUCUAUUAUCCUUUUAAUAAGACCAUAUUUUAUUAUUAUUAUUAUUAUUUUUAAAUAAGAAUCUUAGACAAAAGCGUCACACGAAAUAUGUUAAAUUGACGCCUGGUUCAAUCAUCAAUAAUUCAUAGGUCAAAGGAUCAACUUUAAAAAAAAAAAAAAAAAUCACAUGGUUUCAGAUCUUGACCCUCGUGGAGUUUGUGUAGAAGAGUUUAGCCGUUGGCAUUAUCAUGGCUAAAAUUAUGCCAAUUUUGAACAGCACAAUUGAUCUCUUUUUUUUCUUUUUUUUCUCUUUCUCUCUGGAAAGCAAGCUUUUGUUUUUACACUAAAUAAUUAAUAUAUAUGUGUCUGUGAUUUUAUUGUUAUUUGAUUAAUUUCAAGAUUAUUUAAAUUAUCUUGACCAUAAUUUUGCUAGUUUUGAAAUUUAAGUGUCCAUCAGGAUUUUAUUUUAUUCAUGUAUAUUUGUUGUAUGCGUUAUACUUAACUAACAAAAAUAUUAUUAUAAUAUAUAAUACAAUAAUAAAUCCGUACGAAAUUCACAUUUAGACAUUAUGGACAUAUAUACGUGGCUAAACACUAUCAACAAAUAAUGAGCGACGCGUAAUGCAUUUGAUUGGACGUAAAGCAUUUUUGUCUCUACAACUAAUUCCAUUAAUGGCACGUGCAUGGAUUAUGCAAUUAUUUACGUGCGAAUUUGAAAUAAUCAGAAAAGAAAACAUAAAAAAAAGUAUUUAAGAGGUGUUUGGUUAGGAAGAGAGAAUGUAAGAGAGGAAAGUAAUUUA